rnacentral:tRNA from 1 species
UCCCUGGUGGUCCAUUGGUGAGGACUCCCACUUCAACUGCAGGGGGCAUAGGUUCAAUCCCUCUUCUGGGAA